UACGAAGGGGGCUAGCGUUGCUCGGAAUCACUGGGCGUAAAGCGCACGUAGGCGGACUCUUAAGUCGGUGGUGAAAUCCUGGAGCUCAACUCCAGAACUGCCUCGAUACUGAGAGUCGUUGAGUCCGGGAGAGGUGAGUGGAACUGCGAGUGUAGAGGUGAAAUUCGUAGAUAAUUCGCAAGAACACCAGUGGCGAAGGCGGCUGCCA
rnacentral:rRNA from 1 species